CCUACGGGCGGCGGAGCGGAGCUUUUGGCGCAGAGCUCGCGAAACGCACGCGAACCCGCGCCGACCGCCAACGUAGUAGGGAUGAGCGCAGUGGACCACAAGAGCGACGAGAAACUUCUGGCCGAGCACUUAGCCGGCAAGGCUGGCGUGUUCGACGUGCUUGUGGCCCGCUACGCGGAGGAGUUGUACGGGUUUUUCCAGCGGUUCGUAGGGAAUGCAGCGGCGGCGGAUGAUCUGGUUCAGGAAACACUGCUCCAAGUGCAUUUAGCCGCCAGCACCUUCGAUCCGCAGCGGGCGUUUAAGCCUGGGUUGUACACGAUCGCCGCCAACAAAGGCCGGGACUUCAUGCGGGCCCGCGGGCGCCGACCGGUACAAUCGCUGGACAACCCUAGUAGUC
rnacentral:rRNA from 1 species